UCCCUGGUGGCUCAGACGGUAAAGACUCUGCCUGCAAUGCAGGAGACCCAAGUUCAAUCCUUGGAUAAGGAA
rnacentral:tRNA from 1 species